ensembl:lncRNA novel transcript
UCUUGAAUACGUUAAGAAAGUCUUGUUUGUAUAGAAGAGUUUCAAAUCAUGUGAGUGAUGAAGGGACCCUUCUGUUGAACCUUGGUGUGCAUUUUAGGUCCAUUUUGGGUUUACUCCUUUGUGCUGCUUCAUGAUGCCUUAGGACAAGGACAAGGCCUAGGCCUCCUUGUCUCAGUUCCCUCCUGCUCUCUCUGUUGCCCUCCUCCUUCCACCUGGAGCAUGGCCCAGCAUCAGGUUGGCGCAUGCUGUGAUCAGCUACCUCCAUGUACCACACCAAGCAAAGCUCUCUGGGUGACACAGUUGCCACCACCAGGGCACUGACCCUUACUCUGUGUUCUCCUAGCUCCUCCUGAGGGUGCUGUAGGAGACAUCUGCAAAAAAGAAGAUGCUGGCAAUAUGCCAUCAACCUCAGAGGGGAGUAU